rnacentral:rRNA from 1 species
CGCCACCAGGACCACACCAUAAACCUUUUUUAUGCAGUUGCAAUCAGCGUCAGUAUAACAAAUGUAAAUCAUUUACAACUUUCAACAACGGAUCUCUUGGUUCUGGCAUCGAUGAAGAACGCAGCGAAAUGCGAUACGUAGUGUGAAUUGCAGAAUUCAGUGAAUCAUCGAAUCUUUGAACGCACAUUGCGCCCUUUGGUAUUCCAAAGGGCAUGCCUGUUCGAGCGUCAUUUGUACCCUCAAGCUUUGCUUGGUGUUGGGCGUCUUUUGUCUUUGGCCUCGCCCAAAGACUCGCCUUAAAACGAUUGGCAGCCGGCCUACUGGUUUCGCAGCGCAGCACAUUUUUGCGCUUGCAAUCAGCACAAGGACGGCAAUCCAUCAAGACUACAUUUUACGUUGACCUCGG